AAAGCUCCCUUCGGGGAGCAAGUAGAGUGGCGCACGGGUGAGUAACACGUAGGUAAUCUACCUUUGGAUGGGGAAUAACAACCGGAAACGGUUGCUAAUACCGCAUAAUGCAGCGGCACCUAAUGGUGACAGUUGUUAAAGCGGGGGAUCGCAAGACCUCGCGUCUGAAGAGGAGCCUGCGGCAGAUUAGCUAGUUGGUAAGGUAACGGCUUACCAAGGCGAUGAUCUGUAGCCGGCCUGAGAGGGCGGUCGGCCACACUGACACUGACAUACGGGUCAGACUCCUACGGGAGGCAGCAGUCGGGAAUUUUGGGCAAUGGGCGAAAGCCUGACCCAGCAACGCCGCGUGAAGGAUGAAAUCCCUCGGGAUGUAAACUUCGCAAGAACGGGAAGAAUAAGUAAGGGUUAAUAUCUCUUACGAUGACGGUACUGUUUGUAAGCUCCGGCUAACUCCGUGCCAGCAGCCGCGGUAAUACGGGGGGAGCAAGCGUUGUUCGGACUUACUGGGCGUAAAGGGCGCGUAGGCGGCCACCGCAAGUCGACUGUGAAAUCUCCGGGCUUAACCCGGAAAGGUCAGCCGAUACUGCGGGGCUAGAGUGCAGAAGGGGCAACUGGAAUUCUCGGUGUAGCGGUGAAAUGCGUAGAUAUCGAGAGGAACACCUGCGGCGAAGGCGGGUUGCUGGGCUGACACUGACGCUGAGGCGCGAAAGCUAGGGGAGCGAACGGGAUUAGAUACCCCGGUAGUCCUAGCCUUAAACGAUGAAUGCUUGGUGUCUGGGGUUUUAUAGUCCCCGGGUGCCGUCGCUAACGCUUUAAGCAUUCCGCCUGGGGAGUACGGUCGCAAGACUG
rnacentral:rRNA from 1 species